AAUUCUUCAGUCAUACUAGCCACAUCUCAAGAGCUCAGUAGCCACAUCUGGCUGGUGGUUGCCAUAGGGGAUGUUCUGUUCUCCCGGAACAUUCUAUCAGACAGUCCUGCUUUGGACAGCCUCGUGUAGUCAGAUGUGAAACCACACAUCCCGUCUCUCUUGUAUAUUUAGAGACAGGGGGCAGAGCUUUGUGCUUUCGUGUUCAUCCAGAGAGGAAACCACGCUGAUGAAGAGGCGAUGCACCAGAACUAACCACAGCAAGGCCUUCACCCGUGUCUUCCUGAGACUUCUACAUUCUGGACUUCCAUUGAAUAUGGAGAAUUCAAUCAACAAAAGCUCAAGUACUUAACUGCAUUUUCUCAGGACUUUUGAGCUCACUGC
rnacentral:lncRNA from 13 species